ensembl:lncRNA
UUAAACCCGCCUCACAGGGACGGGCCGGCCUUAAACCCGCCUCACAGGGACGGGCCACGGUUAAACCCGCCUCACAGGGACGGGCCACGGUUAAACCCGCCUCACAGGGACGGGCUGGGCCAUGGUUAAUCCCACCUCAGAGGGACGGGCCGGGGUUAAACCCGCCUCAGAGGGACGGGGUUAGUCCCGCCUCAGACGGAUGGCAGGGGCCGGGACUGAGCUAAAGCCGCCCUGGAGGGACGAGCUGGGUUUGAACUGGGCUGGGAGGAGCCGGAGCGCUCUAGGUGCCCGCAGUCCCUGUCACCCUGUCCUUCCUCACCGCCAUCCUCACCCUCAGCACGGCUUCCUCCCCGAGCUCCGGCCCGCAGGGGUGCUCAGGGCCGUCUUCACUACAGCCUUCCUCUCCAUGGCCAUCCUCACCUCCCACACAGCCUUCCUCACCAUGACCUUCCUCCUCAGACUCUGCCUUCACCAGGGCCGGCCUCUCCCUCAGCACGAUCUUCGUCACCUGCCUCACCGAGGUCUUCCUCAUCACGGCUUAUCUCGCUGCAGGCCUUCCUCACCUCGGGGCCUUCCUCACCGUGGUCAUCCUCACCGUGAUUACCCCACAGUGACAACCCUCGCCACGGCCUUCCUCCCCGUGGUGACCCUGCCGCGGUCCUCAUUGUGGUGCUCCAUGGACAGGAGAGAGAGAGCUCAACGCAUGUGAUCAUUCCCAACCCUUUAUUUAUUUAUCGAGCCCUCAUUAAGGCCAGCGCUCAAUCAGAAAUGCCGAUGGACACCUUUUUCAGCAGGUGACAUUGGCGUGUUCACGCGGCUCCACUCAGGCGGGGUGGAAAGGGCAGGAGAUGCCACCACUGUGGUGGCCACAGGGAUCUCGGUUGGGUGAUUGUCCCACCCGGCUCCUGCACAGCUGAGAUUCCAGAUGGAGACAGGGGAUGGAGCAGAGAGGAUGGAGCAGACAGGGGACGGAGCAGACAGGGGAUGGAGCAGACAGGGGAUGGAGCAGACAGGGGAUGGAGCAGACAGGACGGAGCAGACAGGAUGGAGCAGACAGGGGACAGAGCAGACAAAGCUCCUCUCCUCCUCUCCUCUCCCACUUCAGAUGGGCUCAGUCCCCUCUGUAGAUGUUCAGGAUGGGCCGACCACCAGUGAUCUCCAGCCCCAGAGAUGGAGCCAGGGCUUCUCCCCCGCUGGUGUGUGGGUGCCACAUCCCCUCUCCACAGCUCGGAGCCCCCCUGGCUCAGUCCCGAGUCCUUCCCGCAGGAUCAAGGGCCGGGUGCAGGGGGCUGGAUGCAAUGCCAACGCUCCGACUCCAGCGGUGCCUGGCUGCACAUGUCCCUCCAGUGCGGCAUCCCGGUCCCAAGGGCACCUGGCCCCACCUGGACACGGCCCAGCAUGGAGCCGCGGGUGUGGAGCCGAGCCUGGGGCAGCACAGGGCAGGGAGACAUGGCUGGUGGCCUUCCCUUCUCCCGAGAGGAGCUGUCCCACCCCAGAAACCUCCCGUGGGUGGUGAGAACCAGCUCCUGCGGGGCUGAGCCCACUGAGCCAGGUCACCUCCUGGGCCUCGGUCACCUCACCUGCAUGACAAUGAACUCCAAGGCCAGCUCCUGCUGCUGGAUGUCCCCGGCGGGGAUGCUGAAGAGGAAGGGCGCGUUCCACACGGGGUUGUAGCCACUGGCGGGCUUGGUCUCCUUGGUGUCGAUGAUGUGGCCGUCGUGGUGGAGAUGGACGAUGACGUAGUGGCCUGGAAAUGGAGACAGAGCCCUGGAGAGAGGGACACAUGCCAGGGAGGGAGGCUGGCAGCUGCCAGGCGGUGUUUGGGGGGCUGCAGGACCCCCGUGGGGCUCUCUGGAGCUGUGGGGAGAGCACAGAGCUCCUGAGGUUUCACCUGCCUGUCCUUCCUUGAGAGCAGAGACCUCCAAAAUCCUCAGCUCACAUUCCUGCCCACAUCCCAGAGAGUGGGGAGAGCCAGAGGUGACGACGGGCAGCAGGACAGAAAGCCACAUGCUAAUUUUGGGCCAUAAAUAAAUAUAUUUCAAGCACUUUAGGGCCA